CUGACAUUCAACUGUAAAUACAAUCUCUUAUAACAACCAUACUCUAAAGGAAAAUUCUCUCCUUCCAAAGAACCUGUUCUCAGUCAUCCGUGGCAAAGGUGGCCACCGAUUUAACCCUUCAGCUAGAGAAUUUGCAGCAUCACUGAAAAGUGCCUCUAUAGCAGAGCUUUCAAAUAACAUAGGAACCAACUGCCUGUCUGAUAAUGGCUCCCUCCUGCUUAACAGCACUAGGCCAACAACAACCCACUCUGGCAAUGCCCAAAUGCCAACACCUCAGUAUGUUCCAGAUGAUGGCAUCAAUGAACUGGACACUGAACUGGACACUGAGCUUCUUGAACUGAUAUCAGAGGACCAGAAUAGGCUAAAUGACCUAGAGGAGGAGGUGCUGACAUACAUUUGUGGGUGGCUAGUAAGGGAAAUCAAGGGGGACCCUAUAAUAUCAGCAUGCCCUGAAUGUGAUGCGCUGCUAGUCUAUGACAGUAAAGUUGAACACAACUACAGUGUACCCAGCAGCAACUCAUCCACUUUUCUAAAAAAAAAAAGAUAUUCUGACACUGCCAAUUUAAUUGAGCCCUCAGCUAUUUUGAGAAAGAUUUUGACCAAAUUAGAGGAGAAUCUUGCACCCCUCAUCAAGUCCCAUUGGACCGAUGAGGGGCUGUGCAAGACAAUUACAGAAAAAAUACUAAAAACCGAUAUAUUCAAUACGAUAAUUGAGCGACACCCUGACCACGCAUUUCCCAUAAGGGACAAAUUAUUAAAAAAAUAUGUCAUGUGCAGGAUUGGGGCAGAAAUCCGAGGAGAAAAUCGCCGCAUCGUGGAGGACGCACAGCGAAUCUGGAGAAAAACAAAAUGUUUCACUAGCUAGCUAGCAGCUAGACUGAUAAUAAUAAUUGGCAGAGUCCACCUGGUUCCUUUUCUCAUGUGGUCGUAGAAGCCACCCUGAUCCGAGUCGUGCUGGAUAAGGCAGACAACAGGGUUAUGUUAUAAUCUAAAUAGUUUUUUUUUUUUUCGAGCUACUUUCUCAUGGUUUGCUGAGAUGUUCUGUAUGAUUGAUUUCAUGAAGCAUGAGCUUAAAAGCUAGGCUGGUAAUAAAAUGAAAUGCACCACUA